rnacentral:rRNA from 1 species
UACGGAGGGUGCAAGCGUUAUCCGGAUUUACUGGGUUUAAAGGGUGUGUAGGCGGGCUUUUAAGUCAGGGGUGAAAUCUCCGGGCUCAACCUGGAAACUGCCAUUGAUACUAUUAGUCCUGAAUUUUGUUGAGGUAGGCGGAAUAAGUCAUGUAGCGGUGAAAUGCAUAGAUAUGACUUAGAACACCAAUUGCGAAGGCAGCUUGCUAAACAAAUAUUGACGCUGAGGCACGAAAGCGUGGGGAUCAAACAGG